rnacentral:tRNA from 1 species
UUGUAGCUCAGUGGUAGAGCAAUUGCCUAGCAUGUGUGAGACACUGGAUUUGAUCCUCAGCACCACAUAAAAAUAAAGUUAUUUUUUUUUAAAAAGUGAAUGUUUAAAAAUAUGUAUAUUGUACAGAAGCACCCUGGGUUCAAUCCCCAGUACCAAA